rnacentral:rRNA from 1 species
UACGAAGGGGGCUAGCGUUGUUCGGAAUUACUGGGCGUAAAGGGCGCGUAGGCGGCCGAUCGAGUCAGGCGUGAAAAUCCCGGGCUUAACCUGGGGACUGCGCUUGAGACUGAUGGGCUUGAAUGCGGGAGAGGAUGGCGGAAUUCCCAGUGUAGAGGUGAAAUUCGUAGAUAUUGGGAAGAACACCGGUGGCGAAGGCGGCCAUCUGGCCCGAUUAUUGACGCUGAGGCGCGAAAGCGUGGGGAGCAAACAGG